AUACUUACCUGGCAGGGGAGAUAGCAUGACCACGAAGGUGUUUUCCCAGGGCGAGGCUUGUCCAUCGCUCUCCGGAUGUGCUGGCCCCUGCAAUUUCCCCAAAUGCGGGAAACUUGACUGCAUAAUUCGCGGUAGCGGGGGACCGCGUUUACGCUCUCCUUGA